GCGGGGCAUGGUGGCACAUGCUUGUAAUCCAAACUACUUGGGAGUCUGAGGCAGGAGGAUUGCAAGUUCAUGGCUAGCCUCAGCAAAUUAGUGAGGCCCUAAGCAACUUAGCAAGACUGUGUCUCUA
rnacentral:sRNA from 1 species